rnacentral:misc_RNA from 1 species
GAUGAAGAACGCAGCGAAAUGCGAUACUUGGUGUGAAUUGCAGAAUCCCGUGAACCAUCGAGUCUUUGAACGCAAGUUGCGCCCGAAGCCAUUAGGCCGAGGGCACGCCUGCCUGGGUGUUACACGUCGUUGCCCCCCCAUCUACUCCUUCGGGAUUGCGGGGGGCGGAUGAUGGCCUCCCGUGCGCCUCGUCGCGCGGUUGGCAUAAAUGCCAAGUCCUCGGCGACGCACGCCACGACAAUCGGUGGUUGCGAAACCUCGGUUGCCCGUCGUGUGCGGUCGUCGCGCAUCGAGGGCUCGAAAAAAUUGCCGGGCUCCGGCUCGGCUUUCAACGCGACCCCAGGUCAGGCGGGGUUACCCGCUGAAUUUAAGCAUAUCAAUAAGCGGAGA